AAAAAACUCCCUCCGUCCGAAAAAUCUUGUCCCUCAGAUGGAUGUAUCUAGUACCUAGUGAUAGAUACAUCCAUUUGAACCAUUUGAGGGACAAGUUUUUUUUGGACAGAGGGAGUAUAAA
rnacentral:pre_miRNA from 1 species